rnacentral:rRNA from 1 species
UACGUAGAGUGCAAGCGUUAAUCGGAAUUACUGGGCGUAAAGCGUGCGCAGGCGGUUUUGUAAGACCGAUGUGAAAUCCCCGGGCUUAACCUGGGAACUGCAUUGGUGACUGCAAGGCUUGAGUGUGUCAGAGGGAGGUGGAAUUCCUGGUGUAGCGGUGAAAUGCGCAGAUAUCAGGAAGAACACCCCGUGGCUAAGGCGGUUCUCUAGUACGGUACUGACGCUGAGACGCGAAAGCGUGGGGAGCGAACAGG